rnacentral:ncRNA from 1 species
GCGAUACGAACAGGUGUCGGUUUCCGAAAGGAACGAAGAGGGAAUUCGCCGCAGGCUCUUUCAGGAACCUGCGAAACGAAACUGCCCCCGCAACUGUAGGCGGUGAGUCCACUCCCCGAAAAUGCCACUGGGCCCUGGUCCGGGAAGGUGGGGAUGGGCAUCGAUCCGUCAGUCAGGAGACCUGCCGACAACUGGAACUGAAU